UUCUUCCCCGCACAUUGGGUUUGAUCGCGCGCGAGUUGUAGACCGCCGUCGUGAGGCUAAAUUUACCGUGCUCAGCAAAAUUUGGACCUUCGCUGCGCUACGGUAAAUUUAGCCUCACGACGGCGGUCUACAACUCGCGCGCGAUCAAACCCAAUGUGCGGGGCGUCA
rnacentral:pre_miRNA from 1 species